rnacentral:rRNA from 1 species
CCUACGGGAGGCAGCAGUGGGGGAUAUUGCACAAUGGGGGAAACCCUGAUGCAGCGACGCCGCGUGUGGGAAGACGGUCCUCUGGAUUGUAAACCACUGUCCCCAGGGACGAAGAUGACGGUACCUGGGGAGGAAGCUCCGGCAAACUACGUGCCAGCAGCCGCGGUAAUACGGGGGGAGCGAGCGUUGUCCGGAAUUACUGGGGGAAAAGGGAGCGUAGGCGGGGAUUCAAGUUGAGUGUCAAAACUACCGGCUCAACUGGUAGUCGCACUCAAAACUGCAGCUCUUGAGUGAAGUAGAGGCAGGCGGAAUUCCUAGUGUAGCGGUGAAAUGCGUAGAUAUUAGGAGGAACACCAGUGGCGAAGGCGGCCUGCUGGGCUUUUACUGACGCUGAGGCUCGAAAGUGUGGGGAGCAAACAGGAUUAGAUACCCGUGUAGUC